GCUCCAGUGCUAGGCAAGAGAGAAACAAGCAAUUACAGUAAUUGUGUGAUAAGCAAAAGCACUUAAAGGAAUAUCUGAGAAAAGAUCUCGAAGUCUGGGGGAAUCAAGGAAAGUUUUCCAGAAGUCAAGUCUAAAUGUAGACCAGAGGGAUAAAUGGGAAUUGAGUCAAUAGCCGGGAGACAGAAGGACGUUUCAGACAGAGGGAGCACCAGGUGAGGAAGCCCGGAGUGUGAAUUUUAGCAUGACACCAAUGAACAUCUACUUAAGGUUUUUAACAGGCAGUUACACAAUGAGAUACAUUUUUAGAAGCAUCAUUCGGAUGGUGGGUUGGACUGGAGUUGGGGCAAGAUUGGAAGCCGGGAGACCUGCUAGGAGACCAUUGCAGCAAUUAAAUAGGAAGUGGCGGGGGAUGGCAGAGAAGGGGCAGAUUGAGGAGCUAUGUAGAAGGUAGGAUCCAUACUUGAGGAAGGGAGGUGUCAAAGAGGACUCCUGCUUUCUGGCUUGAGCAGCUAGAAAAACAGCCUUUUGUUUCUUAAGAGGGUGAACACAGGUGGAGGAACAGGAUUGGAGGGAUGAAGGUUGGAGAAACACUGAUUCCACUUUGAAUGUUAGAGUUGAGAUGUCUGUGGAACAACAUCGCACAGAUAUGAACACUAGACAUGUGGAUCUGGGGGUAAAACUGAGAAGGAGGGAGCAGAGGUUGGGGAAAGGCAGGAGAGGGUGUGGUGUCCAGCCGAUGGGGAGACGGGUGACUUCAGCAAAUCUUCAGUGGCAAAGACAGCAGAGUGUCCAGGAGCUCUGGAUGGAAAAGUGACCCCUGGAUUUAGUGACCAAGGUGUCCUCCCAGACCUGGGACAGCAGUUUCAGUGGGAGCCUGAGCCAGCCCCAGGUGGGGGAGGAAUGAGUGGGAGAUGGAGGUGACAUUUUCAAGAGGUUUAGUGCGAAGGUGAGGGUAGAAGGUGGCAAGAUUACUUGGUGUUUCAGGGAAGUUUCUUUUCUGUAGAAAGAGAGACCCAAAAAGAGGGGUUGGUAAUUAAUAGCUCAGGGUCCUGAAGACCCUUGGGAAAGUGAAAAGUGAAAGUCACUCAGUUGUGUCCGACUCUUUGCGACCCCAUGGACUAUACAGUCCUUGGAAUUCUCCAGGCCAGAGUACUGGAGUGGGUAGCCUUUCCCUUCUCCAGGGGAUCUUCUUGACCCAGGGAUAGAACCUGGGUCUCCCGCGUCACAGGCGGAUUCUUUACCAGCUGAGCCACAAGGAAAACCCAAGAAUACUGGAGUGGGUAGCCUAGCCCUUCCCCAGAGGAUCUUCUCGACCCAGAAAUCAAACCGGUGUCUGGUGCAUUGCAGGUGGAGUCUUUACCAACUGAGUUAUCAGGGAAGCCCAGACCCCUGGGAGUGUCCCAUCAAGUGAAGGUUUGACCAUAUACAGGGGAAGGCCAUCCAGGCCGCUGUAAAGGGAGGCCAGGGAGAGGGGCAGGGGGCACAGCUUAGUUGGUGAGCAGCUGGAGAAAGUUAAGGAAGAUGCGGUUGAUAUUUUCUGUUUACUUAUCUAUCCUCUCUCUCUUCAUCACUCUCUUCCACAGGGGACCUUAGUUAUUUUAGGCAUAGAAAGAGGAAGGGAGUUGGCAGACUUUGAGAAGUUUUGAGAUAUUUGCUUUAGAGGAAGGGUGAGACUUUAACAACAGAUUCAGACAGACAUCUCCCCACCUGGCUUCACACGCUCGUGUUGGUGCUCAGCCGCUUCAGUCACUUCCGACUGUUUGCAACCCCAUGGACCGUAGCCCGCCAGGUUCCUCUGUCCAUGGGAUUCUCCAGGCGAGAAUACUGGAGUUCUGAGAGUCAGGAAUUUAAUCAAGGUGCAGCCAGGAAAGGACUGGGGACUGGAAUCAUCUGGAAUAUCCUCAUCGAUGUCUGGUACCUGCGUUGGGAUUACUUGCAGGCUGGGCUGGAUUGCAGCUGUUCCCCAGACUGCAUUCAUGCAGUUCCUCCAUAUGACUUGGGCUUCCACACGACAUGGCAGCUGAGUCUGAGAGUGAGUGUCUGGAAACUGUAUGACCUCGCAUGACCUAGCCUUGGAAGGAAUGCACCAUC
ensembl:lncRNA